rnacentral:rRNA from 1 species
GACGAACGCUGGCGGCGUGCCUAAUACAUGCAAGUCGAGCGGACGGAUGGGAGCUUGCUCCCAGACCGUCAGCGGCGGACGGGUGAGUAACACGUGGGCAACCUGCCUGUAAGACUGGGAUAACUCCGGGAAACCGGGGCUAAUACCGGAUAACUCUUUCCCUCACAUGAGGGAAAGCUGAAAGAUGGCAUCUCGCUAUCACUUACAGAUGGGCCCGCGGCGCAUUAGCUAGUUGGUGAGGUAACGGCUCACCAAGGCGACGAUGCGUAGCCGACCUGAGAGGGUGAUCGGCCACACUGGGACUGAGACACGGCCCAGACUCCUACGGGAGGCAGCAGUAGGGAAUCUUCCGCAAUGGACGAAAGCCUGACGGAGCAACGCCGCGUGAGUGAUGAAGGUUUUCGGAUCGUAAAACUCUGUUGUCAGGGAAGAACAAGUACCGGAGUAACUGCCGGUACCUUGACGGUACCUGACCAGAAAGCCACGGCUAACUACGUG